UCUCAGCCCAGGUAGAAGAAUAUUGGUCAAUGGCCUAACGGCUGAACUGGCAACUUGGAGAAGUGGCAAGUCUUCCAGUAUGGGGAGCAAACAGCUAUGGGUCAAGCCCGACAUCUUUAGGAGAAGUCUUAUUGUGAGGGCGAGUUGUAAAACACCAUAGGGCUGGCCGUCCCAUAUGAAAAGAUUUUAUUAGAAUUGAAUGAAACUUUGUUUAUAUAUUGAUAAUGACAGUAUAUAUAUCGUGUCUUGACUAAUUGCGUGCCAGCAGUCGCGGUAAUACGUAAGAGACUAGUGUUAUUCAUCUUAAUUAGGUUUAAAGGGUACCCAGACGGUCAAUAUAGCUUAUAAAAUGUUAGUACUUGACUAGAGUUUUAUGUAAGAGGGCAGUACUUGAGGAGGAGAGAUGAAAUUUCGUGAUACCAAAGGGACUCUGUAAAGGCGAAGGCAGCCCUCUAUGUAAAAACUGACGUUGAAGGACGAAGGCACAGAGAACAAACAGGAUUAGAUACCCAAGUAGUCUUUGCAGUAAAUGAUGAAUGCCAUAGGUUAGAUUAAUAGUUAAUGUAUAUAGGCUAGUAUAAUAGACUAUACAUUAAAAAUUAUUUGGUCUAUAAAUGAAAGUGUAAGCAUUUCACCUCAAGAGUAAUGUGGCAACGCAGGAACUGAAAUCACUAGACCGUUUCUGACACCAGUAGUGAAGUAUGUUAUAAUAAUUCGAUUGAAAUCGCGCAA
rnacentral:rRNA from 1 species